rnacentral:rRNA from 1 species
UAACGUAGACGAAAGUUACGCUAAUACCGCAUACGAUCUAAGGAUGAAAGUGGGGGAUCGCAAGACCUCAUGCUCGUGGGAGCGGGCCGAUAUCUGAUUAGCUAGUUGGUAGGGGUAAAAAGCCUACCAAGGCAUCGAUCAGUAGCUGGUCUGAGAGGACGACCAGCCACACUGGAACUGAGACACGGUCCAGACUCCUACGGGAGGCAGCAGUGGGGAAUUUUGGGACAAUGGGCGAAAGCCUGAUCCAGCAAUGCCGCGUGAGUGAAGAAGGCCUUCGGGUUGUAAAGCUCUUUUGUCAGGGAAGAAACGGUGAGAGCUAAUAUCUUUUGCUAAUGACAGUACCUGAAGAAUAAGCACCGGGCUAACUACGUGCCCAGCAGCCGCGGGUAAAUA